rnacentral:piRNA from 1 species
UCCAAACCAGUGUGCAGAGUCUCCCGGCC